CCCCAGGACCACACAGGAGUCUCCAACCAGCCCUAGUGGGUCCCUGGGCUGAGACUUAAAAUUGAGUCUCAGCCCUAGGACCACUCUGGAGUCUUGAACUGGUUCUGGUGACAGCCCAGGGCUGCAAACAGAUAACAGCUACUUAUAACGAAUUCUGUCUCCAAAAUCAACUGAUUUUUGGUCUCAGUUCUGGGAUGUCACCAGAGCCAGGUCAAGACUCCAGUAUGAUUGCAUUGGAACUGGUUAAACAUUAAUGUGUGACUGCUCAGAAUGUCACAACCAAAUUAAGUAGUGCCCAUGUCUCAAACAAGUAAUAACCAUUUAAAACAGUUUUUUCUGCACUAGGUUAACUAAGGGUUAACAAUAAUGAUAGUAACCGCUUUUUUCUGCGCAUGUCAAAAAGAAAUUUAUUGCUGCGCCACUAACAGAGAUAAAAACUUUUGCCUCCUUUGCUUUAUAUAAAUCAUUAUAAUUGGUCAAAGAAAACAAGGAGUAACCCUGUGAAAAUAACACCCUAGCGAAGACCGCUAGAUAAUUGGCGAUUCUAAUUAGAUUUAUGACGUGGCGAAAAACAAUUGGCUAUCAUACAAACAAAACCCGCUUACAUUUUUCGCAAAGUGGAAGACAACUCUGCCCACACCUUGGAGUAAAUCUGACAAUUUGAUCAGUUGUCAGCGUCUUCCCGCCGUGACCUCCCUGGCGUACCCUUGCCCCGCAUGCCCGAUAAGCCGACCGCCGGCCCAUAUAUAUAUAUCUGCAGAAUAACUGAACGACGAUCUCUAAGCUGUAACUAACUAAGUAUCUCUGACCUCCGUCUUACACCACCUUGACACUUCAUAACUACUGAGGAAACAGAAGUUAAGAUGAGAACAGGGGAAAAUGUUUGUUUGCAUCACUCUGCGGGAGCUUGCUAUUAAGUCUCACUUUAGCGGUAUGCUAUUCACACCACAUUAAGUAUGAAGGUCACAUAUGAGUCUCUUGCGGGGUGUCCUUGCUGAAGCAAAACCAUCUUGUUGGUGUGCACCUCACAGCUGCGUAGUAGUUCAGCAUCGGCAUUCAGAUAAAUCUAUUUCAAGUCUCUACAUUCUGGAAGAGGGAUGGUGGCGAAUAGCGGACUGUCUCAUCUCUAGCAGAGACUGAUGCUUCGCAUGGGUCAGCUGUUUGACCAAGAAGGCAGCAGCUUAUUUCUUUGUUUGGAUAAGAUCAGGGCCUUAGCUAGAAAUGUGACAUUGUUACACACACUGACUCCCACCUUCUCACAUAUAGCCAUAAUUUACCAUGACAGAUGGGCCAUUGCACACACAAUAUGAUCACCAGUGCCAUGAUCGUACAUCACUAUGUGACACCACGCACAGAAAGGGUGCCAAUAGAGACAGAGACAUCUAACAGUGUGUUAAUAAGUUUGGCUGAAUGGAGGCGACACUCGCUUAUUCCUAAGAUGAUUUUUAGAGCUGUGUGAAACAUAGGGGGCUUAGAUUGCUCCUAUCCUGAAAAUCAAUCGGUGUAUUUAGAGUGGGAGUUUCAAAGGUACCUAGAUCAUUUUAAAGCAUGUUUCCCUUCCUAGAAAUCCAAUUAACUUUAAAUGGGACAUUUACUGUGAAAACAUCAUACAUUUUAAAAUAUUUUUACAUGAUUUUUUGUGUUACUUAGGACACGUAGACUGACCAGCUCAACAGCUACACAAGAAAUAGUCUGGGUGUCAGGGGCCCCAAUGGGCAGCCCAACCUGGGCUAAUUGUCUGAGGCUUGGACUGGCAGCCCUACCCCAGCUAAUGAUUCCAGAUGCCAUGGAUAGGGCCUCUUGAUUGGCAGCUGGGGAGGGCAGCCUUCCUAUUUAGUUCCAUCUAUGGCAGCAGGUUAGCCAACAGUUCCUUUGAAGGUGUGCUCUAGUAAGCCGCUCUGAAUCUUGCAUUUCUGGUUUCUGACCCCCUGUUUGGCCUGGACUCUGGUUUUUGGAUUUCCCUUGGGAUCUGGUACCUUGGUAUCUUGCUCCUGAACCUUGACUUGCCUUGUGUUUUGGACCUUGCCUCUGGAUUCCCCCCCUUGGAUCACUAGUGUGGUCUCAGAUUUCUGACCCUUGUCUCAGCUGGUGUUUUGGGCUUUGCCCCUUGCUCUUGCAUUACCCCCAUGGCCUAAUAAUUGAGCUAGACUGCCCUCGCUUCCCAUCCUUACAGUAGACUGGUGAAAAUGACUGGAAUAUUUCCUCCUAUGUACGUGCACACACAUGCAUGCAUUUUUGGUUGCAGAAAUGUCAGAGAAAAUGUGUAUCAACACGUCAACCUUGUUAACCAAGGCUGAAGCUACUUUAAAAAAACAGCUACAAAAAUGAAAGCUUGUCAUGUGUUUCUUUUCUACCUCCCCCCAUUAAAAUUUAACAUGAAAAUUUAAAAAAAAUGUUUAAAGAAAAAAUGAUAUCUGAGUAUGUUAGACCAAUUUCUGCUUCCUGAGAAUUUCACAUUACAGUUCCUAUUUUCCCAGACCUCACUGAGACAAUCAGCCAAAACAACAAAAUUUUGCAUGGGGUAUUCUUUUCAGCAUCCUAUAGGAAAGGCAGCUGUUUCCAAACACAUCUGCCCUACUUGCUUGUUAUACAGAUACUUUACCAGCAUUGCAUUCCUUUGCGACUGUGCCUAAAAAUUGUUAAAAUAUUAAAGGGGCAAUUCCUUGAAUUCUUUAUCCUCUUGGGGAAAGUGACUGCUAUGCCCAGCUGUCACAACCCAGGAGGAUUCUUGUGCAAGUAUUUGUUGUUUAUUAACAGGAACUAUAACAAGUAGAAUGGGCCCAAAUCUAGUAUCUGUGUAGAUCUAUAUUUGAAUAUCAUGCUCCCUGCUCUGCUCUCGGUGCCAUUGUAAAUGCAGAGUAAUUACACCUAUUUCACUGGAGUUAAUGAGGUAUGUUCCAGGGAAGCUGACAGAAGAACUUUAUCCUGCUAUUUGAAAAGAUUCGAUAAGUAGCCCAGAUAAUUAAAAAACCAAACGUGAUGGAUUGAAAACUUGAUCUGGAUUUGAGAGUUCACAAAACUCAUGGAGCGCACCCACACAAGCAAGCACGUGCACCUGCGGCAGCUCAAAUAGAAGCGGUGCAUAUUUGAACUGGGGCUUUUUGCCUUGGCGCACGUGCUUGGACAUGCACUUUGUUGUGGAGCAAAUUGUGCCACUUGGGGCAACCCUGCCUGGCUCCUCCCGAAUCUGCAGCCAGAGGGAGCUAGAGCCCAGGGCCAGCACCUGUGCUGUCCCCAGCGGUAUAAAAAGCUGCUCUGUCCUGGCCCCAUCAGAACAAAAAGCUUCCCUGGCAAGCAGCUCAAGGCUACUCACUCUCAGGAGCUUCUGGGGGUGGCUUCCAUGGAGCCAUCGCCACAGGUGUGUAUGUGGCGAGCUUCACGGACACCCCAGUCUCCUGCCCCCUCUGUGGGCAGAGGGAGACCCUGGCGCAUAUGACCCUUGAGUAUGCCAGGCUGCAGCCCCUCCACCUCCACCUCCAGAGCCUCCUCUUGAGGUACUGGUUGAAUUUCACCCCCUACCUUUUUGAUUUUGGUCACCCCAUCCAUGGCCCCACCAAGUCCCAGGACCUCCUGAUCAAUCUCCUCCUGGCCCUGGCUAAGUGGGCGCUGUAUUUGACUAGUAAGGAGGCUCUGGACAGGAAGGUGCCUGGAGAUUGUGGGGCCAUUUUCCUCUCACUUGUCCGUGCUUGUCUCCAGGCAGAGCACCAGUGGGCAGUGUCCACCAGCUCCUUGAAUGCCUUUGAGGACCAGUGAGUGCAGCCUGGGGGGCUCUGCUCAGUGUCCUCCUCAGGUGUACUUAUUUUCACGUUUUGACUCUGACCCACACAACACUCCUAUCCUGUUUUUUGCCUUUGUUGUCCCAAGAAUUCUGUUGCAUCUUUCAUCCAUUGGCCCCACACAGUAGGAGCCAAGGUGGGCCUUAGAACCCAUGAUACUUGAAGGAUACAAAUAGACAGGAGCUUCUGGGGCCCAGCUACUGGGUACCUGGGGACACUACCCCUUGUGCCAGCUGGACUACAGCAGCAAUAUCCCAAAUCCAUUUUUAAAAAUACCCCAGAAUCCAUGUUUUUCCACAAUUAAAACAAAAGACCACUUUACACACACACACACACACACACACACACACAUCUAGAGAAAGAGAGUGAGCAAUCAGUUGGGCAAUGCUUUAUUGGUAUAUUUACGAUGUUAAAGCAAAGUGGAAGCCUACCAGUGUCUCUAACAUCAUGAUAAAAUAAAUUCUAAAUACCUAUA